GACGAACGCUGGCGGCACGCUUAACACAUGCAAGUCGAACGAGAGAAGAGAAGCUUGCUUUUCUGAUCUAGUGGCGGACGGGUGAGUAACACGUGAGCAAUCUGCCUUUCAGAGGGGGAUACCGAUUGGAAACGAUCGUUAAUACCGCAUAACAUAAUUGAACCGCAUGAUUUGAUUAUCAAAGAUUUAUCGCUGAAAGAUGAGCUCGCGUCUGAUUAGCUAGUUGGUAAGGUAACGGCUUACCAAGGCGACGAUCAGUAGCCGGACUGAGAGGUUGACCGGCCACAUUGGGACUGAGACACGGCCCAGACUCCUACGGGAGGCAGCAGUGGGGAAUAUUGCACAAUGGAGGAAACUCUGAUGCAGCGAUGCCGCGUGAGGAAAGAAGGUUUUAGGAUUGUAAACCUCUGUCUUCAGGGACGAAAAAAGACGGUACCUGAGGAGGAAGCUCCGGCUAACUACGUG
rnacentral:rRNA from 1 species